CUGAUAAUGCAAUUAUGUUUCAGCAAAGAAUGAAUCUUCUCCAUAAAGUAGGUCAUGCCCAGAAUAUUGAUGAUUUAAAUAAAAUAAUAUCACAGCCUUAAAAAGGGUCUUCAUUUAGAGAUGGUUUUUGCCAUGUAAAAUAUUAUUCAAAAAUGAGAUCUUACCUCCCUCCACCAGGAAGAAAUGUGUAAGAGUAAGGAUUUGGUCUCAAAUUGUUGAAUGAUAAUAUUGUUGAAAUUGAACUUGCUUUUUUUUUCUUUCUAUAUUUUACAGCAUAACAGUGAAACAAAGGGAUUGUUUUUCAGAAACAAAGAAGUGUCUUAAAACUACUCAACACAAUUUGAAUCUUUCCUGAAACUUGAUCUACAUAUUUCCCGGCAAUGUAUUUUUACCAACCUUCAAACUAAACUUCUUUGUUAAAUGUAUGACUUGAUGGCGAUGUCGGAUAUGAAACUACUGUCGUCAGAAUCCCAGGUAUCCUACACCAAAUAUUUCCUGCGAUUCAAAGUGAUGAAUACAUGUGAAAGAAUAUUCC
rnacentral:lncRNA from 1 species